GAAAUUGUAACUUAGGACGAGAGGGCUCAUGGGAGCACAGAGGAAGGCCAGCCCACCCGGAGACCAGCGAUGGCCUCCCUGAGGACCGGCCUUGCAAAAGAGGAGGUGGAGCCCAGAGUGGGGGCCAGUGUAGUUAAGAAGGCAUUCCAGCUGGAGCCACUAACCCCACCCAGCAGGCAUGGAGAGAGGAGCUGGGAGGACUGCGGGGAGUGGGGACGUGUGCACGCCCACCCCCAAUCCCGGACUGCUUCCCCAUCUCUGUGUGGUAAAUAUGGGGCAGCUGGGGUGGAAGCGAUGUCAGGAGGUGGCAGGCAAGCGCAAAUGCCAAGAUGAGGAAACUGAGCUCGGGAGCUCGGGGGCAUUGCACAGUUCCUGCAAGGCCUCCGAUCCUUCUCAGUGGGCAGGAACUGAAGGCCGGAGCUGGCGUCCCAGGAGGCCGUGAUCUGCAACUCUCAGAGCAGAGAGCAGAAGGGACCCGGUGCCUGCCGUGGCAUUCUUGAUCGGAGGACAAACACAGAGGGUGAGCGCCACCCCUGCCGGCACCGGUGCCCGAGAGUUAGAUGCGAAAGAGGGGGAACCCAGUGCAAGAACUCCAGCACCUUUCUCUGAUGGAUCCGGAGCUUCUGAGCUGAGAAGGCCGCUCGGCCCAGGCACUUGGCAUAGCUGGUUCCUCGGUUUCAUUUUUAACCAUCUUUCCCAUCAGGAAACUGCCUGGCUGGCUCAGCUGGUUGAGCAUCCGACUCUUGGUUUUGGUUCAGGUCGUGAUCUCAGGGUCGUAAGACUGAGUCCUGAGUUAGGCUCAGCGCUCAGCGUGGAGUCUGCUUGAAAUUCUCUCUCCCUCUCCCUCUGCCCCUCCCCACUGUGCACACGUGUUCUCUCUCUCUCAAAUAAAUAAAUAAAUCUUUAAAAACUCUUUUCCGUU
rnacentral:lncRNA from 1 species